AUAUAAUAUUUAGGAUUUAAUAUCCUCACUUUGGGCAUCUAUGAACAUGAAAUCUAUAUGGCAACAAAAAGGACUACAUUCUGAUCACUGCAGUGGGAAAGUUGGCAAAGCCCAAACUAAUUCCGGUUCCGUUUAUUUCUCGGCUCAAGAUCAACACUUUCAGCUGAUCUUGUGCGACGAUUCUGUCUUGGACUUAUUUCUGUGUCUUGAAGAUCAUUUCUGAAAACAGAAAAAAGAAAACGGCAGCUUAGGCAAAGAUGAUCGUUAUUAUUUUACAGCAUUUCUAGUUUAUAAGAGCCUUCCCAUGCAUUUUCAUUGAAUCCUCCACACAGCCUUCUACCCCACUGACAAGUCUACUAUAACUAUUACUGCUAUUAUUAUUCUUCCCACUUUACAACUGAGAAAACAGUGACUUAGUAAAGACUAAGUCUAAAUGAAAUGAAAGAGCUAAGGCCUCAACCCCUUUCUUUCAAAUCAAAAUCUAGCAGUUUUAUGCUUCUGCUUCACAUGUAGAAAGCUGAAAAAAAAAAAAAAUGUGCUCCCAUCCUAACAAGUCGAAGCCAGAGGUCUAACAGACCCAGAAUUUAUCUUGACCUUGUCAGAGAGCUGGGGUUCUAAGGGAAGCAAGAAAACAAAGUUCCCUCAAAAGAGAGACAGGCCAUGUGCAUGCCCUCACUCCAGGCAGGAUGCCAAAGGCCAGAGAACAUGCAAGUGAGGAGAUGAAAGCUGCGGUUUUGCUGGAUUCUGCAAUAUGCCCAGGAGCCUUGGCGGUGCUCGUGUGACACUGGGAGAGGGCAGGACACCGAGGAGAGCCUGAGGUGGGAGCACAGGGAUAAAGCAGGGUACACAGGGGUGACAGGGGUUAGGCAUAAGCCCUGCCUCUUCCCUCCACCCUCCUCUCCUAUGAAGCAAAAGCUUUAAGCUGCUGAGAGAAGAGCAGGAAACUCCCUGGGCCAUGGGCUUAGGUGAAGAUGCGCUGUCCCUGGGGUGGAAAGGCAAAGAUUCACUGUUGCUGGGAAAUGGGAGAAACAGAAACUUCCACCUCUAGAAGAUGGGAAGCAAGUCAUCUUGGGCCGAGGAGCUCAUACAAUUCCCAGCAGAGGUUGGGUCAAGGUGGUCUGAGCACCCUGGGAGGUGGGGGAGGGUGCUGGGAAACCCCCACCCCAGAGAAGAGGCACCCAGGGCCUGCCUGAGACAGAGCUGGGGUGAGAUGCCAGGGGGGCCCCCGUGGGCCCACCACGAGCCCAGCACCAAGCUUAGGCUGCAGCAGUAGCUGGCUGAUGGAGAGGAAGGGACAAGGAGAAGAGGUGCCUCCCCUGGUCAGGGAGGGGAGAGGAAGGCACUAAGAGCAGAUGAAAGGAAAUGAGGGCAAAAUCAGUAGGCCAAACCUCGCCAUACUGUCCCAACACUAAGCACAAGGUCAAAGCAGCCCCACUGCUAGAGGAACGUGAGGGCUCUGAUGCCCUGAAGGUCACAUUAACAAGUAAACUCCAACCGAGGUCAACUCCCCACACGAAUGGCCUAACAGGAGAAGGGGCCUUCCCAGCUCCAGGCACAAAUGCUGUUUAUCCCAGUCUCUAUGGGCCUUCAUUCAAGUAAAAUAGAUGAUUCACAAAGAAGGUGGAAAACAAAGAAAAUCUGUUGUAAAAAGUAACCAAGAGAUAAUACAGACAAAAUGACCACAUGUUGCAACUGUCAGACCAGGACCUUAAAUACCUAUGGUUCACAUGUUGCAGGCUCUAGGGAAAAGCCCAACAUGGUGAACACAUGCUCCAGGGGAGGCUCAUUAUUACUGCCCCUCCCCCUUACCACUCAGAGUCUAAGGUUCUCAUCACAAGUGGCUGCCUUGUUGCUCUUUCCCCUCCUCCACAGAGUCAGCCUGUCCAGCUCAGCAAGCAGUGUACUCAACCAAGAGUCACCACUCUUCUGAGCUAGGACAGGGGCUGGCAAACAUCGUAAAGGGCCAGAUAUCUGGGCUUUGCCAGCCAGUCACACAGUCUCUGUUGCAACUACUCAGUUCAAGUGUAAUGUGAAAGGGGCCACAAACAGUAGAUAAACAAAGUGUGUGGCUGUGUUCUAAUAGAACUUUGUUAACAAAAACAGCAGAAUAGAUGUGCCACAUGGGCCAUAGUUUGCCAACCCCUGACUUGGACCAUGUGAGUCCAACAAGUGGAUCCAGGUGGCUGAGCCAGAGUUAGGUGUGAAUCCUCUAGGACCUCCCUUGGCCAAGCUGCCACUCAGAGGAUGUACCAGUUAGGCCAGUAUAGGGUUGCUCUUAGGAGAAAGAAAGAUGCAUCAUGCCCAGGAAUUGUCAAGAGGGAAUCCUGAAUUUUUAAAUAGGUCCAUAUAAACCCAACACCCUUUUUGUCUUGAUCACAGCCAGAAAGUGGCCAAAAUGAGAUGACCCCUUUCUGAGCACAGCAGCAAUCAGUGACCAAGCUGCCUUACUAAGGUGUGUGGACCAGGAGGAGGUGAGGGAGCUGAUUUUUUUCAAGGAGGCCAUUCCAACAUUCAGUACUAGAUGCCUGUGGAUUGCAGGGAGGCUAACAAAUUCAGCAGGUCGCCAAUCUCUUCAGAGAAUGGGUCUUUCCUUCCUACCUACAUGAGUGAUGCAGAUGCUUUGAUGGGCACCCUCCAGGUGUGGAGCCCCAAGAGGGGGAGUGGUGUUUUUACUCUGCUAAUCUGUGACUUUUAUGACCUGAUUCAACCUCAAUUACCUCCUUAACAGUUCUAUCUCCAGUACAGGCACACUUGGAAUUAGGCUUCAAUGUACAAAUUUUAGGUGGACACAAUUGAAUCCAUAACAGCCUUUGUGGGUCAGGCAUUCAGUGCUGACAAGAUCCUAGCAGCAAGCUAACAGCUGUUUUUCAAAAGGGAUAUAACUGGCAGCUAUGCUAGGCUGGAGACAAGUCCAAAAUCCCAAAGGGUGUCUCUCUUUGUCAGAGGCUCCAAUCAACAAAAUCACUGGCCAUAAAGACUUGUAGCUCCAAGGGGUUUUUCGAGUUGUGGGAGUUCAUGGGUAUUAUCACUUCUUAUGUAUGGUUCUUCCCCAUCUGAGAAUUUGCUCUGGCACUUAGUGGAUGGGGAAUUAAAGUAUGUACACAUCAGUCUCGCAUGUGUUCCAAUGAGAAGUAACAAAUAACUUAGUACCAAGUUAGCCCAGAGGGCCUCAACUACAAGGUCAUAUCAGCUUCCCUUCCCCACUGUAAACCUUGCCAAACCCCAUAAAAUCAAGUCAGGUACUUCCUUCCCUGACAGAAGUAGGAUAUCAAUCUGGUACCUAUAUCCAACAGAGCCAGCAAAGUCUGAGUCUCUGCCCUUCCCAAAGAUCACUCCUGGACUGGUGCAGAUGGCCUUUAAUCUCCCUUGGGGACAGGUAGACCUGGGCUCCACCACUAAGCAACAAAGCCAGAAUAGCCAAAACAAUUCUAAAAAGAAAAAUGUACACUGACAAUAGUAAAUGCUGGUGAAGAUGUGGAGCAAAAGGAAUUCUUAUUCAUUGCUGGCAGGAAUGCAAAAUGGCACAGUCAUUUUGGAAGACAAUUUGGUAGUUUCUUCCAAAAUUAAACAUACUCUUACCAUAUGAUGCAGCAACUGCAGUCCUUGGUAUUUAGCCAAAUGAAUGGAAAACUACAUCCACACAAACCCUGAACUUUAUUUAUAGGUAUAAUAAUAUAUAGAUAGCACUUCAUUCAUAAUUGCCAAAACUUGGAAGCAAUUUAAGAUCUCCUUCAACAGCUGAAUACAUAAAUGAAUGGCAGUAAUUCAUAGAAUGGAAUACUAUUCAGCACUAAAAAGAAAUAAGCUGCUCAAGCCACACAAAGACAUGCAGCAAGCUUAAAUAUUACCAAGUGAAAGAAGUCAAUCUGAAAAGGCUAAAACUGAAAAGGCCAUAGUUGGGCUUGGGGAAAAGGAGGGGUGAAUAGGCAGAGCACGAAGGACUUUUAGAGAACUUUUCCCCUUGUAAGGUUUAUUACUUGCAAAAAGAGGCUUUCUGGUGAGAACUGAAGAAGGAAACCAGGUUGGGGUCUUUAUGGUGGGUAGUGGGUGGGAUCACCUGGGAUUUCUUAGCAGUCUGUCCAGAUGUAGAAGGGGAAAUGGAAGAUUGAGACUCAAGAGCUGUCAGCAAACACCACAAAAAUGGGGUCAGAUAAUAUUUCAGGGUGCAAACUGAUGAAGAACUCAGUCCAGAGAAUAGGUGUGUACAGUGGCAAAGCACUACACGUGGCUUAGGAGAGUCAAGACAAUUCACUAUCCUUUGGGCUCAGACUUCUUAUAAACAGUGAAUAGAAUUCCUUCCCUACUCUGUAAUCACAAGAUUAAAUAAUAAAAUGAACAUGAAUGUACUUAUAACUUGACUAAAACAUGUUAGGAAUUUGAUAGAUGUUAGUUAAUUACAUUUGUCUUCUUAAAUAUCUAGAAGUAAUUUUUGCUAAUUUCAUAAGAUUCACUUCCUAGAAGAUAAUGGCACAAAAGAAAAAAAAAAAUAUCAGCCAACAUGCAGCCCUUCUUUUUUUUCUUUUUUGUCUUUUUGCCUUUUCUAGGGCCGCUCCCGCGGCAUAUGGAGGUUCCCAGAAAAGACAAAAAAAAAAAGCACAUGGCAACUGGCUUCUUCCAGAACGAGAGAGCCAAGAGGGAGACAGAACAAACAAAAAGAAAGAAAGAAAGAAAGAAAGAAAGAAAGAAAACACACACACACACACACACACAAAAGGAAUGGAUAGUGAGAGAUGGUUAAUAAGCAGAAAACAGAUUAAAUUUAAGAUUUUAUAAAAUCAAAUCAGCAACACAAAAGCAAUCAGUGAUAACCUUGGAAAAGUUUUGCAUUCUAACGUUUACUGAAUAUAGUUCUUGGAAUAAUACUUUAAAAAGAACAUGGACAGAGACCAAAGCCUAUAGAAUGUGCUUGGCACUUGCAGAGCCAAGGAGCUUCUCAGUUCUUUUGUCUUAAGGGAUCAUCCUUCUUCCCAUUACAGGUAAGGCUACUGAAAAAUAAGAUCACUGUGGAGGCAAGUCCACAGGCUCACUCUGCCUUUAGCUUUUUCAGUUCUUCAUCCACAAAGGACUGUAAACAGGCUGAGGCCAGGCCCAUCACAAUAAUUUUUUGAUGGGCUUUUGCUCCUAACUCUAAUUUUAAGGUUUUUUUGCUUCAUCUAUUCUGGGGCUCUGUUGUUAGGUGCAUAGGAACCUGUAAUUUUAUAUCUUCUUGAUGGAUUGAUCUUUUCAUCACUAUAAAAUGUCUUUCCAUCAUUACAGAACGUCUUUCUAGUCUCUAGUUAACAAUUUUUGUCCUAAAGUUUAUUUUGCCUGAUAUUACUAUGGCCAUAAAAGCUCUCUUUUGGUUACUGUUUGCAUGGUAAUAUUUUUCUUGCCUUUUACCUUGUGUUUUUGAGUUUAAAGUGGGUCUCUUGAAGACAGCAUAUACUAGAAUUAUGUUUUUUAAAAAAUCCAUUCUAUCAAACUCUGCCUUUUAAUUGAAGAGUUUAAUCCACUUAUAUGUAAUGUACUUACUAAUAAGGUAGGAGUUGUAUGUGCCAUUUUGGUAUUUAUUUUCUAUAUGUCUUUUUUUUCAUUCCUCUAUUCUUCCAUCACUGCCUUCUUUUGUAUUAUUUUCUAGUGUACCAUUUUAAUCCCCUUGUCAUUUCUUUUACUAUAUUUAAAUUAAAAAAAAUAUUUUCUUAGUGGUUUGCCUGGACAUUUUAAUUAACAUAUUAAUUUAUAACAAUCUAAUUUAGAUUAUUGUCAUCUUAAUUUCAAGACAAUACAAAAACUUUGCUUCUAUACACCUAUUUCUUCUUCCCACCUUUCUGCUAUUAUUCUCAUCUUAUGUCCAUCAACAUAGAUUUCUAAUUAUUGCUUUGUACAGGUUUCUUUCAAAUCAGAUGCGGGGGGAGAGUUGCAAUAAAAAAAAUGUCUAUACAGUCUUUUUAAUUCACCUAUACUUUUAAAUUUGCCUUUACUGUGGUUCUUUAUUUUUUCAUGUCAAUUCAAGCUACCAUCUAUUGUCCUUUCACUUCAGCUGGAAAGAUUCCCUUUAUUAUUUCUUGUAGGGCAAAUUUCCUAGUGACUAACUCUCUUUUAUUUCUCUGGAAAGGUCUGAAUUUUU
rnacentral:lncRNA from 1 species